GAUGAACGCUAGCGGCAGGCCUAAUACAUGCAAGUCGAACGGGAUCCAGAUCAAAGCUUGCUUUGGUUUGGUGAGAGUGGCGCACGGGUGCGUAACGCGUGAGCAACCUACCCUUGUCAGGGGGAUAGCCCGGCGAAAGUCGGAUUAAUACCGCAUGACAUCAUUGAGAGGCAUCUUUCGAUGAUCAAAGAUUUAUCGGACAAGGAUGGGCUCGCGUGACAUUAGCUAGUUGGUAAGGUAACGGCUUACCAAGGCUACGAUGUCUAGGGGCUCUGAGAGGAGAAUCCCCCACACUGGUACUGAGACACGGACCAGACUCCUACGGGAGGCAGCAGUAAGGGAUAUUGGUCAAUGGACGGAAGUCUGAACCAGCCAUGCCGCGUGCAGGAAGACGGCCCUAUGGGUUGUAAACUGCUUUUAUACGGGAACAAACGUCGGUACGUGUACCGGUCUGAGUGUACCGUAAGAAUAAGGAUCGGCUAACUCCGUG
rnacentral:rRNA from 1 species